UCGGUUCAAACAGUAACUAGAUUAUCGUC
rnacentral:sRNA from 1 species